CAUGGGAUUUCACCGGAUAGGUGCUGACACUCUGGGCAAUGUAACUCUUCAAGCAUCUCCAAUUGCCCAAUGGCAUCAGGCAACUUUCCUAUCUUGGUGUUUCCCAUCCUGAUGAAUUUGAGCUUCCUCAAAUUUGCGAUUGAAUCAGGUACAUUGACUACUCCUGAGAAUGACAGAUCUAAGUAAAUCAGCGAUUCUAAUUUCCCAAGUGAGUGCGGUGAGAGUGCUAGUAUGAACAAAAUAAAGGAGUUAAGGAAGAGAAUAAGAACACAAGAUUUAUAGUGGUUCGGCUUAAUCCAAGCCUACGUCCACUCUCCCACGAUAACAGCCUUCUUGGCUGGAUUCCACUAUGCAAUCAACAAGAGAUUACAACUCCGAGUGCAAACACUUAGUAGUAGAUCACACUAUCUCACUAAGUCACUCUCUUGGUAUUUCUCUCACGAUUACAAACGUUUAAGCUCUCAAGAGACAAGUAUAUGAUCUAAAGUCGCUUAGACUUUGGAAUUAUAAAUUCUACGCUCUGUCUCUUACUUGCUCAUCGGUCCAUGAUCUCCUUAAAUACUCCUCCACUUCCAAACUACCCGUUGGACAGCAUCCCGGAGAAUCGUCUUCCAAUAUACCCAUUGGACAGCUCUGUAUCUUAGAAGAUUUGGUAGCCGUUGAGUGACAAAGGUAAAAUCCCAAAUUGAUUCCGAUCGCCCAUACAAACGAAAUCUUGGUUUCCAUAAGUAAAGCUUCUUCGUAUAGAAAGUUCUUGUCUUCAACAUCCAAUUGUCAAUCAAUUAGAUUGAAUCAAUCAAAUCAAUCUUGAUGUGGAAUCCAAACCAGAUCACUAGCCGUUGUAUGAUUGGGCUUGAGUUACGAUUCAUUGAAUCUGGAUGUAAAGUCUGAUAGCCAUAGACUUUACAAUUUGGGUCUUUAGACUUUAGAAUCUGAGUCUGUAGACUUUACAAUCUGGGUCUGUAGACUUUACAAUCUGUACCUAGUUCAACUUUAGCAUAGAGUCUGUCUUCUGGUUCAGCUUCAGCAUAGAGUCUGUCUUCUGGUUCAUCAUUCACGUUUAGUCUUCUGGUUCAUCAUUCACGUUUAGUCUGUAAUUAGUCAGAGUGAGCAGACUUCUGAUGUAGAAUAGACUUUGACACUAAAGUCUGGCAGUCUUCAGACUUUGAGUCUCGAGUCUGGCAGUCUUCAGACUUUGAGUCUUGAGUCUAGCAGUCUUCAGACUUUGAUAAUAUCAUUUGCAGUCUUCAGACUUUGAUAAUAUCAUUUACAUGUUCUAUUAUCUGCAUGGUCUAUUACUCAACCAUUAAACAUGUUAGUAGCCUUUGAUUUAUUUUGUCAUCUUCAAAACAUCAUAAGGGAUUUCCCUAACAAUCUCCCCCUUUUUGAUGAUGACAAAACAAUCUCUGAAUAUGCAGAUUUAAAAAUUUAAAUCAAAGGAUAUCAGAAGAUAGAAAAUAAUUGCAGCUCAAUAUUAUGCAAUAAAUAAUAUCAACCAAUCAGCACAUAUGCAUAUUCAUAUCUUCUCCCCCUUUUUGUCAUAAUCAAAAAGCGAUAAUGGAUUCACGUAGAGAAUGAUAACAAAUAUCUUGCAUGAAUCACAAUUCCCAAAAAUCAGCUUUUAUCGAAUAUUAAAGAUAUGCAAUAUAGCUCACUUCGAUUAUAUCAGCAAAUAUCCAAUAAAAAUCACGGAUGCAUCAUAAAAUUCACGUACCAUUUUUGUCAUAAUAAAAUGAUAAUAUCAAUAUGAGAUUUGUUAAUGACAAAAGGUAAUAAGAGAUGCACUAACCGGAUUUUGUAGAAUAAAUUCUGACACAAUUACAUUUCCUUCCAUCCAUAAUAAGAUCACGAUCAAUCAAAAAAGAUUUUUCCAUAAUUGAUCAAAGCUCCCCCUCAAUUUGUUGCCUUUUUUUGAGAUGAUCACGAUUCUUUUCCUUUUCUUUUGGAUUCGAUUUCUCCCCCUUGAUUUCCUCAUCGGAUUCUGAGUCUUGUUCUGAAUCAGACUCUGAUUCUGAGUCUGUGUCUGAGUUAGACUCAGAUUCUGAAUGUGCCAUCAAGCAUAGAUUUCUUUGCUCAUCAUCUUCUUUCAUGAUUCUUUUCUGGCCAUUAUGCUUGUAUUGACUUCUUCCACUGAAUUUCCUUUCUUUUCUACUCAGCUUUUUGAAUUUCUCGACCAUAAAGGCAAAUUCUUCAUCAUCCAUGUCAUUUUCUGAGUCUGUUUCAUCAAAACAGCAUUAGAUAUUAAAGCAAUGGACUUCUUACCUUCGGGAUCUUCAUCGUUAAGUUGCUCCACUUCAUAGAUUGAAGAGUGCCGAUCAAUUCAUCANNNNNNNNNNNNNNNNNNNNNNNNNNNNNNNNNNNNNNNNNNNNNNNNNNNNNNNNNNNNNNNNNNNNNNNNNNNNNNNNNNNNNNNNNNNNNNNNNNNNAAGAGUUUGUUGACCUUUAUUGGGGAAGAAUAGGAUGACCUUGACAUGCCAAACCGUUUACAAUUUCUGUAAAACGAUUAAACAUAUCUCCAAUUGACUCUCCUUGCUUCAUCUUGAAGGAUUCAUAUUUGCCGAGCAAGAAGUUUACUUUUGUCUCUUUUACACGAUCGGUCCCUUCAUAUGUAACAUGAAGUUUAUCCCAAACUUCUUUUGCUGUUUCACAUGAAGAGAUUCUAUUAUAUUCAGCAAGAGAUAAAGCGCAAUAUAAAGAAUAAAUUGCUUUUGCAUCAAGCGCUUCUCUUUUGGACAUCUCCAUUCGAGACAUAGGAGCGAUGGGGUUGAUUCCUCUUUCCACAACAUCCCAUUGUAAGAGAUCUCUGGAUCUUAGGAAUGCUUUCAUCUUGUUCUUCCAUACGUCAUAUUCCUUUCCAUCAAAAUAUGGUGGCCUUGUGUUGCUUUGCCCUUCCAUAAGUCCUGGUGCCAACAUACUAGCCAUAAAAGAUCUUUAGCUCAAAAGUAAAAACACUUUUAUAAACCGAGCACUUGGCUCUGAUACCAAUUGAGAGUGCUAGUAUGAACAAAAUAAAGGAGUUAAGGAAGAGAAUAAGAACACAAGAUUUAUAGUGGUUCGGCUUAAUCCAAGCCUACGUCCACUCUCCCACGAUAACAGCCUUCUUGGCUGGAUUCCACUAUGCAAUCAACAAGAGAUUACAACUCCGAGUGCAAACACUUAGUAGUAGAUCACACUAUCUCACUAAGUCACUCUCUUGGUAUUUCUCUCACGAUUACAAACGUUUAAGCUCUCAAGAGACAAGUAUAUGAUCUAAAGUCGCUUAGACUUUGGAAUUAUAAAUUCUACGCUCUGUCUCUUACUUGCUCAUCGGUCCAUGAUCUCUUUAAAUACUCCUCCACUUCCAAACUACCCGUUGGACAGCAUCCCGGAGAAUCGUCUUCCAAUAUACCCAUUGGACAGCUCUGUAUCUUAGAAGAUUUGGUAGCCGUUGAGUGACAAAAGUAAAAUCCCAAAUUGAUUCCGAUCGCCCAUACAAACGAAAUCUUGGUUUCCAUAAGUAAAGCUUCUUCGUAUAGAAAGUUCUUGUCUUCAACAUCCAAUUGUCAAUCAAUUAGAUUGAAUCAAUCAAAUCAAUCUUGAUGUGGAAUCCAAACCAGAUCACUAGCCGUUGUAUGAUUGGGCUUGAGUUACGAUUCAUUGAAUCUAGAUGUAAAGUCUGAUAGCCAUAGACUUUACAAUUUGGGUCUUUAGACUUUAGAAUCUGAGUCUGUAGACUUUACAAUCUGUACCCAGUUCAACUUUAGCAUAGAGUCUGUCUUCUGGUUCAGCUUCAGCAUAGAGUCUGUCUUCUGGUUCAUCAUUCACGUUCAGUCUGUAAUUAGUUAGAGUGAGCAGACUUCUGAUGUAGAAUAGACUUUGACACUAAAGUCUGGCAGUCUUCAGACUUUGAGUCUUGAGUCUGGCAGUCUUCAGACUUUGAGUCUCGAGUCUGGCAGUCUUCAGACUUUGAGUCUUGAGUCUAGCAGUCUUCAGACUUUGAUAAUAUCAUUUACAUGUUCUAUUAUCUGCAUGGUCUAUUACUCAACCAUUAAACAUGUUAGUAGCCUUUGAUUUAUUUUGUCAUCUUCAAAACAUCAUAAGGGAUUUCCCUAACAUGCGGAAGCUCCUUGAUCCUUUUGCAACCUUCUAUAGACAAAUGCUUGAUUUUCACUAGUACUCCAAUAGAGUGUGGGAGUCUGCUUAUUGUCUCAUUCCAUUUUAUACUCAAACUCGACAAAAAUUGCAAAUUGCCAAUUGUCUCCGGAAGCUUGCACAGUAGAGAAUUUUUGGGCUUGAUUAACUCCAUCAAAGAGUUUAGAGAACCAACUUCUUUUGGCAAUCCUGAAGAGAAUUGCAUCCUUCCAUAUUCAGAGUGCUCAAGUUCUGUAGGUUAAUAAUGGAGCGAUCUAUGGUGACUAACUUGGAACACCAAGCAAGAAUCAAUAUCUCCAGAUACGUGAAGUUAGACAAGUCAGGUGUGCUUCUCAAGCAAUUGCAGCUUCUCAAAUCUAAAACUUUUAACUUUUUCGCCAUCUGCACAAAAAUUAAACAUCAAAUAAAGAAGGACAAAAAACAUUGUGUUCCAAGAAUUAGAAGCAUCAAAAGCCAAUAUGGGGAGACAUUAAUACCUUGAUUUGACUCCACCCAGUCCAGUCUUCAGUAAUUUUACUCCUGGAAAGGUCGAGCACCACCAAAUUAACUAGGCAAAAAUUCGUCGCUGUAAAAUUUAGAGGACACUCAUGCCAAGAAAGCCAUCUUAGCUCUCAAUGAUCUUUGAAGUUCCCAACAAAAUUCAACCCUUUCCCUCGGAGGACCCUUAGACUCCGUAGUCUCUGUAAUUCUUCAUCAGUGAAGGUAUAGCCACUACCAUCACUUUGACCAUUAUAGCUCAGACUCAGUGCUUCUAUUUCUUCACUUGCCUGCCAUGAGAGAUCAAGCAUGAAUGAGAACAAAUAAUACAAUAAAGGAAAAAGUUAACUCUGUGAGCCACUUGUGAAGUUUGUCUACUUCCCGGAAAUAACUAGCAGAAUGGCCUCUAAAUUACAUUCUGUUAAGUUAUACCUGUUUAUUCCUCAAUAAAUUCAAUGCCUCCUCAGGAUUCCAUACCCUGCUACGCUUGCCAGGAAAUUUGCAAUUCUCUUCGUAGACAAUGUGUCUUCUAAGAUCCCUAACUUGGUCAUGCAUUGAAAACUUAUUAUCAUCUCCAAUCUUUAUCAAGGACCUAAGAAGGAGGACUCUGAUUGCGUCAUGAGGUUAGUAUUCACAAUCGCUCCACAUGAAUAUCGGAUAUUUAUUAUUUUCUUUGAUGAAAAAGCACACGAUGUCCAGAAAAACUUUCUGCUGCAUUGGUUCUAAUCCCUCGUAACUUAUCAUCAACGUCUCUUGGACUUCCUUUGGAGGAACUUUAUGUAACCUCUUCAGCGUCUCUUCCCAUAAGGCCUUGUCAGUGGAAACGCUAGAAAGAGAUGAACCUAUCACCUCGAUAGCCAAAGGAAGCUUCCCUAAAGUUGAGACGAUCUGUCUUGAUAGGAUAUUGUAGUCUUCUAUAGGAAAGUCUCUUCUAAAGGAAUGUCGGCAGAAUAGCUGAAGCGCUUGACUGAAUCCCAUUUCCUUGACUUCAUACGUCAAGAUUCGUUCAUGUCGAUUCGGGACAGCGUCGACCUCUAAUGUUUCCAUCCAGUCAGUCAGGACGCUCAUGUUCGAUUCGGGACAGCGUCGACCUCUAAUGUUUCCAUCCAGUCAGUCAGGACGCUCAUGUUCCUAGUUGUUAUAAUGACCCUGCUUCCGUUUUCAAACCAAUCGCUCUUCCCAACUAGCUUUUCGAGCUGCUCUUUUUUUUCCACAUCAUCGAGCACAAUGAGGAUUUUCUUGUCACAAAGUGCCUUCUUUAUCAUGCCAAUCCCUUGGUCAUUGUCACGAACAAAAAUACUGUUGCUGCACGUCGAAUGGAGGAUGCUUGACAGCAGUUGCUUCUGCAAGUAGAUGAUACCGUCUGAUCUUCUAGAGAUCUCUCGGACAUUUUCGAGGAAACUGUAGCGGUCAAAGCGAGAAUAUAAUUUGUUGUAAAUGACUUUUGCGAGUGUUGUCUUACCAAUGCCACCUAUUCCAUGGACUCCCACAAAACGCACGCCACUGUAGUCAAUGUCCAACAACUUCAUUAUUGCAUCAAUCUGAACAUGAUCUUUGACUAAAUGUUCAGUCACAUUCUUAUAUCUGGCAUUCAGCUUAAUCAGGACCUCCUGGACGAUCUCUUUGAUGAGUUUGCCAUAGCUGCACCGAUGCGUGAGACAAUUCAUUUCACUUUAGACAUGAAAUUGAAGAGCGUAUGAUGAAAAAAAAAUUCAGAAACAGGAGACUCAUCACUCUCCUAGUUUCUGAACAUUCUCCUAUUUUCUCAAAUAUAAUGGAUCUGAAGAGAAAAUAAGGUUACUCUACGAAAUUCCUUACCCUGUAUAAGUUUCCAAGCUCCAUCGCUUUACUUCCUCAACCUCCAUGAGGGCGUCACGCCACACCUUCACUUGGUCUGCUCCAAAGUUCCUCUCGUGCUGUACGAACGCGUCGUGAUACAGCGGAGUCUUGAGCUUGACGUCAUCCGAAUUCACGUGAAGAUAAAUGGGGAGAAUCUCUUUCGUGCUGUCCGACUUUGAUGCCAUCGUAACCAUCUUAGUGAGCUCGAUGAGGCACCAUUUGCUGGACGCAUAGUUCCUUGACAAGAUGGGCAUGUAGAUCCUAGAGCUCUCGAUGGCCCGAGGGAACUCUUCCUUGAUCCUUUGCCCGACUUGGAGCUCGUCAUCAUCCCUGAAGACGCGGAUCCCAGCGCCUUUCAUGCCUUCGUAGAGGUAAUUGGUGAAUGUUUCGCGACUGUCAGCCCCUUUGAAGCUUAAGAACACCUUGUACUCAAUUCUCGAGCCUCCAUCUCUCUCCAUUGCAGGAACCAUCCUCUGGGAAGCCAGAACCUGAGGGUCUGAAAUUUAUACACCAAACUCUCUCUGAAGUAGCACUAUCGAUUUUGUUGGUAAUUUCAUGAUGAUUAAUGGUGGUGUAGCGCCCCUUCAAGAAACAAGCGACCCCGUUGACCAACAUACCACGCCCGUUGACACUUGCAUGUGAGGGGGGCAAGUUCCGGAGAUGCUGAGACUACACCCUGGAUUUGAUUUAAGAAAUCCAGCCUUCGCGUUCGUCAAUGUCGUUAUUCGUGGGAAACGGCGAAUGUCUGUAUAAUUAUAUCAUAUCAAAAUAGAGAUUACCAACUUAAUCAAAAUUGCAGUUGCAUCUUUGACUAACAUGUUCAAUCAAAUGAUUCUUAUCCGUAGCUAAAAAGCACUAGCCGACCCAAUUGAAGUAUUACCCCACUACUUCAUAAUAAAACAAUAUGAUAAAUGUUGUUGAGAUUGCUCAGCUCGAGAGAAAAAAGAUCAGCAUUAAGAUGACCCUUAAAUGUGCGGUGAAUGGACACAUUUGCAUUUAAUGCAACUAGUUUGAGCAGUGUAGCAUCAACUAGGUGGUGCAAGAUCAGGUUGGUUUUGCUGGGGAAUUUCCUAGCUCAUGGAUCAUCAUAGCACUUCCUAUUUUAGAUUACAGAAUCAAGGAAAAUGAGAUUUUAUGUAGGUAAUUCCAUGUCAUAUUAACUUCAUAAUUCUACAGGUGAGUAUAAGAAAGGAUACAUCUGCAGAAUCUAGAAAAUACUCAGCAACCUACAAUAAUGGCGUCGACGAGAUAAGACAAUUCAUCUCUCGUUUACACAUCUACCAACAAACACAUGGCAAUUAUUUUACCUAAAAAAAAAAAAUUUUCUUAAAUGAAUUUUCUUAAGGAGUAUCUAAUUGGCAUUUGUCAAGCAAUUGAUUGUGAAAAUUCUUUAAUAUUUUUAUGCACCGAAAUUUCUUGUAUUAUGAACGUCUUAAAAAUUGAACUGCUGCAUGUCAAAUAUGACAAGUAUCUGCAAAACCACCUGUUUAUAAUCAAUUUUCCAAAAUUAGAAUUGAUUUUUUGUUUCAUUUUGUGAUGAUAAAUGACCAACUUUGACUCAGUGGCUGGAGUAUUGCUUUCGCAUGGCAAGACUCGUCAUUUCAAAUCCAGCAGUAGGUAGAUCUUUUAUUAUAAAGUUGGAAGAGAGAGAGAAAGAGAGAUUUUGGGCUCAUUUAUUUUUUAUUUUUUGGGUCAGAAAUAUAGGUAUUGCAUUACUAAUUGACAGCUUUACAAAAGAACUGGGUAUUACAACCGGAAGCUAUUGCUUCGGCAGCUACCAAGCUUUGUAAGAUAAAAGCAGGAAAAUGUUCCAGUUAUGGGCCAUAUCAGAUCUACCGUGGGCCUUGGCAGCCCAAUCAGCAGCACCAUUAGCUUCCCUCUUGCAAUGCUGAAGUCUGAAAUUAGGGCACAGGGAAAGCAAAUGACCAAUCUCUGCGAACAACGCUCGUUCUUCCCAUGGGGGAUUCCGUUUCUCAUGAAGAAUCUCGAGCAGGACCAAACAGUUAGAUUCGAUGAUAAUAUUGGCCAUAUUGAGUCCCUGAUGCAGCAGAUGAUGAAGAGCGAAAGCGAGCACCUGUACUUCGGCUUGAAAGGGAGAAGCGGCGGGACAUCGUCGAGUAUAGACAUCGGUAAGUACCCCUUGAUGAUUUUUGCUGAUACACGCUACGUUUCCUUCUUGACUUCCCGGUUGAUGAGAUGCGUCUAUAUUGCAUUUGAGGUAUCCCCGAUCUGGAGGUUUCCAAAGUAAAACUGAUCCACGAUUAGUGGGAUGCCCUGUUUGUGAUUCCUCCGAUCGUUGAUGAUUUGUAGAAGAAAGGCCGUGAAUCCGUGUCAGGGCAAAAGCGUCGAUCACAGCUCGGGUUGGAUCAGGACGGAUUCGACGGAAGAUCCGAUUGUUGCGUUGGCACCAAAUCUGCCAGAAUAGAUGGGCGAUAGUCUCCAAUCCAGGUACUAGUUUAGUGUUUGUUGCUCUGUCUGAAAACCACUCGUCGAGACGAUGAAUGUUGAGAGGAGAGACUGGAAUGUUGAUCUGCUGAUGAUUCCAUAUCCCGUGUGUCCAUGAGCAAAAGAAGAAUAAGUGUUCAAAUGUUUCUGGAGAGUGUUGAUUGCAUAUUUCACAAAUAGGAUCAGAGAUGAUAUGCCUAGCAAAUAGAUUAGCCUUGGUAGGAAGGGCAUUGUGGCAUGCUGACCAUAAAAAUAGACGGAUUUUCUGAUCUGUGUUGAUUUUCCAUAAUUUGCGCCAAAGAAUGCUGGGUUGUUGGUAUGAUGAUGAUGCGUGGUGACCCCGUGGCGUUACUGGCUUGCUGACAAUAGUCCUGUAAUUGCUUUUUACUGUAUGAUUGCCAUCUUUCGUGGCUGUCCACACUAACUGAUCAGCAACAUGUAGCGGUCUGAUAGGGAGAUUAAGUAUUUCUGAUGUGAUGUUGGCAUCAAAUAAAUCUAUUAUAAGAUGAACAUUCCAGGUAUGGUGGACAGGGUCAAUAAGAUUUGCCACCAGCCCUGGUUCGUCUCUUGUAGCUGGUCCUCCAAUUGGGCUAGAGGGUAACCAGCUAUGAUCACGAAUUUUGAUGUUCUUUCCAUCCCCAACAGACCAUCAUACAUUAGGUAGGAUGGCGUCCCUUCCAAAAAGGACACUCCGCCAACCCCAGGAUGGGCGCGUGCCGAGUUCAGCUAAGUGAACAUCUUUAGUUUGGAAAUAUAAUCCUUUGAAGAGUCGACACCAUAACAAGUUUGGCUGUUGAAGUAGACGCCACGCUUGCUUGCCAAGUAGCGCUUUGUUAAAGGCUAACAAAUCUCGGAAGCCUAACCCACCAUUCACCUUGGCUGUUUUUAACAAAUCCCAACUUUGCCAAUGCACUCCACCCCUCUGUUUAUCGUUUCUCCACCAGAAAUUGGAGAUUUUCUGUUCAAUCUUAUGACACAAUGAUAUAGGAAGUUUGAAAAUGGACAUAGCAUACUGCGGAAUAGCUUGCACGACAGAUUUCAGUAGGAUUUCCUUGCCCCCUUUUGAUAAUAAAAGUUAUUUCCAGCCCUCAAGUUUUGCAUUUACCUUGCCUAAUAUCCAGCUAAACAUGUAUGUUUUGGAUCGUCCCCAAUCAGAUGGAAUUCCUAAGUAUUUCCCAUACUUCUGUAAUAUCGGUACCCUAAAUUCUGCCGCUAAAUUGAACUGAAGACUCCAAGGACAGGUUUUAGUAAAAAACAUGCCAGACUUAUUCCUAUUAAUGACUUGGCCAGUAGCUAGACAAUAUUGAUUCAAGAUAUUGGCUAGAUUCUGACAUUCCAUGAGGGUUCCUUUAAGGAAGAAGACCGAAUCAUCAGCGAAAAAUAGAUGGGAAAGAAUAGGACAAAACCUGUUAAGCUGGAUCCCUUUUAGAUGGCCCAUAUUUACAGCUUGAUGAAUAAGGGAGGAAAGAACAUUCGCCACUAAAAUGAAGAUAUAAGGGGAAAGUGGGUCCCCUUGACGUAAGCCUCUUGAUGGUUGGAAAUAUUGGAGUUGUUCUCCAUUGAAACGUACACUUAAAGAUGAAGUUAUGAUACAUUGCAUCACCAUUCUAACCCAGGAGUGAUGAAAACCCAAUUUAAGUAGAUAAUCCUGUAGGAAAUCCCAUUCAACCUUGUCGUAGGCUUUUUGCAUGUCCAUCUUGAGUAGUGCAUUAAAAUGACGCUUCCUGAUCCUUGUUUUGAAGUGAUGAAUAACCUCCUGAACAAUUAACACAUUAUCCUGAAUUUGACGCCCGCUCACGAAGGCAACCUAUUCCAUUGAGAUGAGUUCACCAAGCCACGGUUUGAGAUGAUUCACCAACACCUUAGAGAUAAUCUUAUAAGCAUAAUUACACAGGCUAAUCGGUCGAAAUUGAUCGAGGCUCUCAGGGUGGUUGAUCUUAGGGAUCAACACUAGUACCGUCUUAUUAAGAUCUCUAGGCAGGACCCCCAAAGAAAAAAACUCAUGAACUAAACGGAAUAUAUCAUGCUGAAUGAUAUCCCAAUGGGUCUGAUAAAAAAGUCCAUUUAGACCAUCGGGCCCUGGAGCUUUCAGCGCACCCAACUGAAAAGUCGCCAGUCUAACCUCCUCUCUUGUAAGCUCAGCAAUUAAAUGCUCAUUCAUCUCAGCAGAUACUAACGGUUGACAUUGAUCUAGGAUUGGUCUAUAGUCCCGGUAACCAAUAGAGGUGUAUAAGGUAGAGAAAUAGUCAUAAGUCAUCUCCUUUAAGGUCGGAAUAUCUCUCACCCAGUUAAGGCUCUCAUCCCUUAACAUUCCAAUCCUAUUGCGCUGCCUCUGCUGCACUAUAGUGGCAUGAAAGAAUUUGUUGUUUUUGUCUCCCCAUUUUAACCGGUUAACACGAGACCGCAUUGCCCAAAAUUGUUCUUCCUGCUGCCAUAGUGUCCGGAUUUCCCCACGCAGCUGUUCUGCUUCUUCGGUAUCAGUGUUGGAAAGAUAUGGCUUGUUAAUAAGAGAUUGGAGCUGCUGUUGUAAGGCUGGCACCCUCAAGUGACCAUUCUCAAAUUUUGCCCGACUCCAUUUUCGUAGAUUAGAAGAAACAAUUCUGAGUUUGCGCAAAAGAUGGGAAUUGCGUACCUGGAUGGAGUUCCAUGUGUCAGAAAUAACCUCUCUACACUCCGGAUCUUGGUUCCAAUACGCUUCAAAGACAAAAGGGCGUUGACAUCUAGGAUAAGAUAUCAAUGUGGACAAGAGGAGUGGGCUGUGAUCAGACCCCAUAGCCGGCAAGGCAAAGACCUGGGCUUCCGGGUAAAGAAGUCUCCACUCUGUCGUGCACAGAACACGGUCCAACCGUUCUUUGAUUUGUUCCAGACCAUCCCUAUUAUUCGACCAUGUAAAAGUGCAGCCCUUGCUCUCAACCUCCAUAAAUGCACAGUCAUUGAUAACAUCUCGAAAAGAUUGCAUUCUAUACCGUUCCGGAGCCCGCCUACCCACCUUUUCCCAAGAGUACAGGACUUCAUUAAAAUCUCCAGCACAUAUCCAAGGGAGAUUAUUGGAGGAACUGAUCAGACGAAGAUUAUCCCAAAGUAACUAUCUAUUAUGGUAGGAGUAUGGUGCGUGAAGACAGGUAAUGCGCAUAAGCUUGUUUUCCACUAAAUCCCGACAGAUGAGAUCAAAAUAUUCCGCCAAAUAAGAGACCAUGUCUACUAAUAAGGUAUCAUUCCAAAAAAGCGACAAGCCUCCGGCAAGACCUACAGGAUUCGGUACAAAAGAGUGACUGUACUUUAACCGUCGUUGCAAACGAUUAAGAACAUUAUCAGUAUUCUUAGUCUCCAUUAAAAACAAAAAGUCAGGCUUUUCUUUGGCCGUCAAGGCCUUUAAGGCUUGAACUGUCAGGGGAUUGCCCAAACCCUGACAGUUCCAACAGAUAAGCUUCAUUUGUAAGUCGGUGGCUGUUUAGGGCCAGCCCCCAAAGCCCACGUAUUCCCUUCUGCUGUGUCCAAAACAGGUGUGUCCAGCAAUUGAGCAUCAUCAAAGUUCUCUAUCAUGAUAUGUUUCGAUUCAUAGGGAGAAUAUCUUUUCUGUUUCUUUGCAAGGGCCAACUUAUGAGUAACUCGGGGAGCAUUCAGUUUUUGUUGUGGUGGCUUAUCCAUAAUAGAACUUAUUGGGCCCUUCUGUUUGGCUUGUGCAGGGAUUAAAGCCGUUGUAAUUAUAUGACCUGGUUGUGGAGAAGUCUGCCUGUGACAUCCAGAUUUUCGGAUUCUAAUUUCAACUGGAUAAAUAGGGCCGUUUUCGUUUGGUUGAAGCCGGGAUUAUGAAAUUGAGAUGCAUGAUGGGUGCAUGAGUGAGGAAAAAUGUCAAUUGAAGUAUAGAGGUGUCAAUUUAAAUUAUGGAGAUUAAAUGAGGAUAAACGGAGUAAGAUUGAGUAACCAAUUGGUGCCUUAUACUUGCAAUUUCGUGUGCCCCUCCCCUCCCUAGCCAAAUGGACCAAAAAGAGAAGUCAUGGGGUGUGUUUUGGUGGACCAUUGGUAGCCAAGGGAUUAUACAUGGCCAAGACUAAGUCUUGGAGAUAUUUUGUAAAGAAAAUAUCAAGCCAAGAGGCCCCCACCUCUCCCUCAUCUCUAUCUCUUCUCUUCCUCACCCUCACACCACCGUCCAUCUCCCUCCUCCCUCUAACGACUUCCUCCUCUCUGUUCUGGCCUCAUUUUCAUUUUUCAUGGAAAAACCGGCAGCUCCUUCCUUUGAAAGCUGAAGCCCCUUGCAGCGCCACACGUCCACGCCUCCACUUGUGUCGGUCAAUGAAAGGAGCUGUCUUCACCGAUUGUUGACUGCCCGGCUCUGCUUCGUCCACCGUUACGUUCCCCCGCACUAAGCCAGCAUCGAAGGAGUCACGCCAGCACAUCCAGUCAACUUCAGCUCUUCGUGGACUCUGUGCCGCGUGUCUUUCCUCUACCAGCGACCACCGAAAUUUCGGUCGAGCACCCAGCAGCUUCAUCGACGCCAAAAGCUGCUCUCCUCUCCAUAGCCACGUCCACUUCUUUUCUUCACGGCUGCCGAAGUCAAACGCUCAACUGCCGUGCAUCUACUGCCCAUCAGCCCAACAAGCGUUUGUGCCCCUUCUCCACCGAGUUUGUCGGCCACCGAGUCAGCCGAGUCAAGCCACGAAGCAGCAUCCACGAGCUGCCACGUCCUUGGUCAACUGCAGCUCCACCGAAUACUACAGCCCCGUGAUCUGUUUCCUCCCAUCGCACGCUCGGUCAUUUUUCACCAACGAAGACCCAAGCUGGUCUCCUUCUACCGAAGCCGAUUGCUGGUGUUGUUGACCGUGAAGCCACCUGUGCAGCAGCCGUUUGUGCACCCAUCUCCAAGCGUCUUCUUCUCCAGCAGCUCUUCUUCAGCUCGUGGACUCAUUGUCUCUCUUGCUCACGUCAACAGGCCAAGGAGCAGCCCACGGUUUGGGCCAGCAAUUCCAGUAGCUUCACGGCCCAGCAAGCCCAAGAGAAAGAGCAGCCCAUCUCCUUCAGCCCAAGAAGCUAGUGAAGCCCAGCGAAGCCUGCACAUUUGACCCAUCUGAAGACAAGCCCAGCAACUUUCCUCAGUCCAGCAAGUGGUUAUUUGCUCAGUUCAGCCCAUCUUAAAGCCCAAGAAGUUUCAGUAGCUCAGCCGCGAAGUUAGUCGGCCCAAGUUUGGCCGCCCGUCAUGUCGCCGUCGCGGUUUUCAAUCUUUGCUUUGCCAAGUGAGUUUUACUCACUAAUGCCUUCUUAGUUUGCUAAUUAUACUUAAAGGUUGAUUAGUGUUAAUUAAGUGUAAUUAGGUUGUUAGAUUAGAAUUGAUUAGUGAUUAUUAGUUAAUUGGUUUGCAUAAUAGUUGUGUGAUUAGUGUAAUUAGAUAGAGAAUUGCCUAUAGUAUUUAUUGGAUGCUUCUUGGGAUUUUUCCCGUCCCUUAUCGGUGUUAAUUAAGCGAUUCGGGCCUAGGUGGUAUUUUAGGAAUUAAUAUUAAUUUUCGAAAUUAAUUAUUUAAAUUAUUUAUUUCCCGGAAAUUCAAUUGGGAUGGCCAGUGACCGGGAUUUUAUGCUGAUGAUGGUGGCGCAGACCGUUUAUUUAAUUGAGCUUUAUAUUGUGCUAAAUUGAAUUUAUUGUAUUUAUUUAUUUAAUUUUCGAAAUUAUUUAUUUAAUUAUUUAUUUUCCGGAAAUUCAAUUGGGAUGGCCAGUGACCGGGAUUUUAUGCUGAUGAUGGUGGCGCAGACCAUUUAUUUAAUUGAGCUUUAUAUUGUGCUAAAUUGAAUUUAUUGUAUUUAUUUAUUUAAUUUUCGAAAUUAAUUAUUUAAUUAUUUAUUUUCCGGAAAUUCAACUUGGAUGGCCAACGACCGAAAUUUUAUGCUGAUUUUCGUGGCGCAGUCCGUUUAUUUAAUUGAGCCAUAUUUCAUGCUGAAUUGAAUUAUUUGUGAAAGAAGGAAUUAUUCUUUAAUUAAAUAAUCUUUGGUUAUUAAUUGAAAAAGAACUGGGCUUUGGUUGAUAAUGCCAAAAGGAUAUGAGUGGACUACAGAAAAUGGUGGAAUUUAUAAAAAUGAAAUUAUUAUGUUUUGGCUAAGGCCAAUUGAGUAUCCACUCAUGGUAUUUUAUCGGGAAUGAUAAAACUGGUUAUUUGAUUAUUGCUUGGAAUGAUAUGAUCUACCAGCUCGAUGACUCUACGGAGCAUCUGGAGACAGGACGGUAUGAUAAAUUGUGUGUAUACCGGCUCGAUGACUCUACAGAGCAUCUGGAGACAGGACGGUAUGAUAAAUUGUGUGUAUACCGGCUCGAUGACUCUACGGGGCAUCUGGAGACAGGACGGUAUGAUAAAUUGUGUGUAUACCGGCUCGAUGACUCCACGGAGCAUCUGAGACANNNNNNNNNNNNNNNNNNNNNNNNNNNNNNNNNNNNNNNNNNNNNNNNNNNNNNNNNNNNNNNNNNNNNNNNNNNNNNNNNNNNNNNNNNNNNNNNNNNNUUCAAGCAUUUCCCAAUUGCCCAAUGGCAUCAGGCAACUUUCCUAUCUUGGUGUUUCCCAUCCUGAUGAAUUGAGCUUCCUCAAAUUGCGAUUGAAUCAGGUACAUUGACUACUCCUGAGAAUGACAGAUCUAAGUAAAUCAGCGAUUCUAAUUUCCCAAGUGAGUGCGGAAGCUCCUUGAUCCUUUUGCAACCUUCUAUAGACAAAUGCUUGAUUUUCACUAGUACUCCAAUAGAGUGUGGGAGUCUGCUUAUUGUCUCAUUCCAUUUUAUACUCAAACUCGACAAAAAUUGCAAAUUGCCAAUUGUCUCCGGAAGCUUGCACGGUAGAGAAUUUUUGGGCUUGAUUAACUCCAUCAAAGAGUUUAGAGAACUAACUUCUUUUGGCAAUCCUGAAGAGAAUUGCAUCCUUCCAUAUUCAGAGUGCUCAAGUUCUGUAGGUUAAUAAUGGAGCGAUCUAUGGUGACUAACUUGGAACACCAAGCAAGAAUCAAUAUCUCCAGAUACGUGAAGUUAGACAAGUCAGGUGUGCUUCUCAAGCAAUUGCAGCUUCUCAAAUCUAAAACUUUUAACUUUUUCGCCAU
rnacentral:lncRNA from 1 species